GGGGAUUUAGCUCAGUGGCAUAAGCGCCUGCCUUGCAAGCAGGAAGUCGUGAGUUCGAUCCCUG
rfam:Cavia porcellus supercont2_41 genomic scaffold, whole genome shotgun sequence.